AAGUCGAGCGAGAAAGUUUCUUCGGAAGCGAGUAAAGCGGCGAACGGGUGAGUAACGCGUAGGAAUCUACCAUUCAGCGGGGGAUAGCUCGAGGAAACUCGAAUUAAUACCGCAUAUACCCUACGGGGGAAAGAAGGCCUCUCCUUGGAAGCUUUCACUGUUUGAUGAGCCUGCGUGAGAUUAGUUUGUUGGUGAGGUAAUGGCUUACCAAGACUACGAUCUCUAGCUGGUCUGAGAGGACGAUCAGCCACACUGGGACUGAGACACGGCCCAGACUCCUACGGGAGGCAGCAGUAGAGAAUAUUGGACAAUGGGGGCAACCCUGAUCCAGGCAUGCCGCGUGUGUGAAGAAGGCCCUAGGGUUGUAAAGCACUUUAGGUAAGGAAGAAAAGUUAAUUGUUAAUACCUUUUAACCGUGACAUUACUUACAGAAUAAGGACCGGCUAACUCCGUGCCAGCAGCCGCGGUAAUACGGAGGGUCCAAGCGUUAAUCGGAAUUACUGGGCGUAAAGCGCGCGUAGGCGGUGUGCUAAGUUGGGUGUGAAAUCCCCGGGCUUAACCUGGGAACUGCAUUCAAAACUUGCAUACUGGAGUACGGAAGAGGCGAGUAGAAUUCAUGGUGUAGCGGUGAAAUGCGUAGAUAUCAUGAGGAAUACCAAUGGCGAAGGCAACUCGCUGGUCCGUAACUGACGCUGAGGUGCGAAAGCGUGGGUAGCAAACAGGAUUAGAUACCCUGGUAGUCCACGCCGUAAACGAUGAGAACUAGCCGUUGGAUCCUUGAGGUUCAGUGGCACAGCUAACGCAUUAAGUUCUCCGCCUGGGGAGUACGACCGCAAGGCUAAAACUCAAAUGAAUUGACGGGGGCCCGCACAAACGGUGGAGCAUGUGGUUUAAUUCGACGCAACGCGAAAACCUUACCAACCCUUGACAUCCAGAGAAUUUUCUAGAGAUAGAUUU
rnacentral:rRNA from 1 species